rnacentral:rRNA from 1 species
UACGGAGGAUGCGAGCGUUAUCCGGAUUUAUUGGGUUUAAAGGGUGCGCAGGCGGUCUGUUAAGUCAGCGGUCAAAGCCCGGGGCUCAACCCCGGCCCGCCGUUGAAACUGGCAGUCUCGAGUUGGAGAGAAGUAUGCGGAAUGCGCGGUGUAGCGGUGGAAUGCGCAGAUAUUGGGAAGAACACCGGCGGCGAAGGCGGCCUUCUGGGCCACGACUGACGCUGAGGCGCGAAAGCUAGGGGAGCGAACAGG